rnacentral:rRNA from 1 species
GACGAACGCUGGCGGCACGCCUAACACAUGCAAGUCGAACGCGCUUUGCUCCUUCGGGAGCAAAGUGAGUGGCGAACGGGUGAGUAACACGUGAGCAACCUGCCCUUGACUCUGGAAUAACAGCUGGAAACAGCUGCUAAUACCGGAUACGACCUCCGAUGGCAUCAUCUGGAGGUGGAAAGCUCCGACGGUCAAGGAUGGGCUCGCGGCCUAUCAGCUUGUUGGUGAGGUAACGGCUCACCAAGGCUUCGACGGGUAGCCGGCUGAGAGGGCGACCGGCCACACUGGGACUGAGAUACGGCCCA